CUGACNUUGUGAAUUACUUGAGGAUCCAUACAAGCCCGAAUGUCUCCAAAUUGCAAAUAAACAUGCAGUUACGUUGGUGAGAAGUGCAUUUUAUCAAACGGACGUAACUUCCGUUUGUCAUGGAUUAGAAUAUUGUAAAGGUCCCAGUAAUUUGGGACGUAUCCAAAGAGAGAUUCAACUCUAAAACUAAAAGCGUUUACGAGACUUAUUUUAGUUCCUAAUUAGAGUUGAAACCAAAGCGUUAAUCGAUUUUAAUGAUAUUUACUGUUGAAUUAAGCUAGAUUUAGAUUUUUGUAUAAGAAAAUUUUGAUUUUUCACGAACAGUUUACGAGUGUGAUACCAUGAAAAUUAUAUAGACUUGCCAUAUUUUUGAUGUAAUUGAUGUAAACUGUAAUGAUUUGGAUUGUUUGUAACAGCUACUUUUGAGUUGAAUAAAAACGUAAUCAAUUUUUAA